rnacentral:tRNA from 1 species
GCGCGAGUGGCUCAGUUGGUGGAGCGCGACCUUGCCAAGGUCGAGGCCGCGGGUUCGAGUCCCGUCUCGCGCUCGA